rnacentral:misc_RNA from 1 species
UUUCCGUAGGUGAACCUGCGGAAGGAUCAUUAAUGAGUUGUCAUGGGGUUCGAUGCUGGCAGCCAAUUUUUGGAUGCAUGUGCUUGCCCUAACAAUCAUCUUCCAAACACCUGUGCUCAUUUUUGAGGGCGUCUUGAGUUGGUUGCCGCUCUUGGGUGAUUUUCUCACAUUCCCUUAAAUCAUUAUACGCUAUUAACAAUGUUGAACGUGCUCUGUGCCGCAAGGCUAUUAAUAUAAUACAACUUUUAACAACGGAUCUCUUGGCUCUC